rnacentral:rRNA from 1 species
GGAUUAGAUACCCUGGUAGUCCACGCUGUAAACGAUGAGAACUAGCUGUUGGCCCUGUUGGGGAUUAGUAGCGCAGUUAACGCGAUAAGUUCUCCGCCUGGGGAGUACGGCCGCAAGGUUAAAACUCAAAUGAAUUGACGGGGGCCCGCACAAGCGGUGGAGCAUGUGGUUUAAUUCGAUGCAACGCGAAGAACCUUACCUACCCUUGACAUCCUGCGAAUCUUUCAGAGAUGAGAGAGUGCCUUCGGGAAUGCAGAGACAGGUGCUGCAUGGCUGUCGUCAGCUCGUUCGC